rnacentral:rRNA from 1 species
UGCAUCCUGUUACGGCGGCAAAUGCCUUAAUGUAGCGCAAUUCCUUGCCCUUUAAAUGGGGGCAGAUUGGUGAAUGGCUUGACGACAGCUCUGCUGUCUCAAAAGUUUUUGAAUUGGAUUUAGAGUGAAGAUACUCUAAUAAAAAAGAAAGACGACAAGACCCCUAAAACUUAAUAUUACUUUUUAAAAGGUUUUUUAAACGAUAUUUGGCUGGGGCAGCAUUAUUAAAAUACAAUAAAAGAUUUAACCAGUAGACUUUGAUCCAAACUAUAAUUUUUAGUUUGAAAAAAGGAAAUAGUUACUUUGGGGAUAACAGCGUAAUUUGCCUGGAGAGACCUUAUUGAUAGGCAAGAUUGCGACCUCGAUGUUGGCUUAACAUUACC